rnacentral:rRNA from 1 species
UACAGAGGUCUCAAGCGUUGUUCGGAUUCAUUGGGCGUAAAGGGCGCGUAGGCGGCGGGGUAAGUCGGGUGUGAAAUCUCAGAGCUCAACUCUGAAACUGCACUCGAUACUGCUCUGCUUGAGGACUGGAGAGGAGACUGGAAUUCACGGUGUAGCAGUGAAAUGCGUAGAUAUCGUGAGGAAGACCAGUGGCGAAGGCGGGUCUCUGGACAGUUCCUGACGCUGAGGCUCGAAAGCUAGGGGGAGCAAACAGG